CUGGCAUUUAUAAAAUAAACCAUAUAUGAUUAAUGAAAUGAAAUGUGUUGUGAGCAAAGCACGUCUUUAUAAAGGCAAUCCAUGACAUUUAGUUUAUCAUAUACAUCCUUACAAAUUGAGAAAUAUUCUGAAUCAUUGUUCACAUUAAAAGUGCCAUUUCCUCAACUUAAAAAAAGGUGUAAGAGUAUUCAUAUUGUUGCAAAGAUUAACAUCAUGCAGCCUUUUUUUCAACCCUUAUUGGGACUAAAAAUAAUAUGAUAAAGGAAGAAGAAUAGACACCCAAGAUGGGGCUCCAUUAGGAUACCCCCUGUAAGGUCACAAGGUCACAUUCCAAUUUUGCUUCGGUCACCAAAUGACUUUUAAGCAAACUAUAAAAGUCAACCUGAUCUGAUUUUCAAUUUUGAACAUUUUACAAAAACCA
rnacentral:lncRNA from 1 species